rnacentral:lncRNA from 1 species
GGUUACUUUUAUAUGGAAUCACUGGAGCGGGCCCCCUCUUAGGUAGCCAUUGGACCCCUACUUAUAAAAAUUUCUAGAUCCGCGAGUGGAUACUACCACAGAGGUCAAACAAUGCACAUUUGGGUAAUUGUACACAACAUGCAUGCUACAAUUCAUGUUUGAUGAUCUUAGACCCUUUGGACCUCUAUGUGGGCUAUUUCGGUAACUUGGUAAAAAUCCCCAAAC